rnacentral:rRNA from 1 species
AUUGAACGCUGGCGGCAUGCUUUACACAUGCAAGUCGAACGGUAACAGGCCGCACGGUGCUGACGAGCGGCGGACGGGUGCGUAAUGCAUACGAACGUGCCCCGUCGUUGGGGAUAACUAAUCGCAAGAGUAGCUAAUACCGCAUACGAUCUAUGGUAGUGAGCGGGGGAGCGCAAGGGCUCGCGCCAUUGGUGCGGCCGCUGUCAGAUUAGUUAGUGCGUGGGGUAAAGGCUCACCAAGCCAACGAUUUGUAGCGGGUCUGAGAGGACGAGCCGCCACACUGGAACUGAGACACGGCCAAGACUCCUACGGGAGGCAGCAGUGGGGAAUUUUGGACAAUGGGCGAAAGCCUGACCCAGCAAGGCCGCGUGCAGGAAGAAGGCCUUCGGGUUGUAAACUGCUGUUAUACGGAACGAAACGGCUCGGGUUAAAACCCGGGGCUAAUGACGGUACCGUAUGAAUAAGCACCGGCUAACUACGUG